GUGCUUGCUUCGGCAGCACAUAUAGUAAAAUGGGAACAAUACAAAGAAGAUUAGCAUGGCCCCUGUGCGAGGAUAACACGCAAGUUCUUGAAGUGUUCCAUGUUUUU
ensembl:snRNA U6 U6 spliceosomal RNA